rnacentral:rRNA from 1 species
GAUGAACGCUGGCGGCGUGCCUAAUACAUGCAAGUCGAGCGAACAGACGAGGAGCUUGCUCCUUUGACGUUAGCGGCGGACGGGUGAGUAACACGUAGGUAACCUACCUAUAAGACUGGGAUAACUUCGGGAAACCGGAGCUAAUACCGGAUAAUAUUUCGAACCGCAUGGUUCGAUAGUGAAAGAUGGCUUUGCUAUCACUUAUAGAUGGACCUGCGCCGUAUUAGCUAGUUGGUAAGGUAACGGCUUACCAAGGCAACGAUACGUAGCCGACCUGAGAGGGUGAUCGGCCACACUGGAACUGAGACACGGUCCAGACUCCUACGGGAGGCAGCAGUAGGGAAUCUUCCGCAAUGGGCGAAAGCCUGACGGAGCAACGCCGCGUGAGUGAUGAAGGUCUUCGGAUCGUAAAACUCUGUUAUUAGGGAAGAACAAACGUGUAAGUAACUGUGCACGUCUUGACGGUACCUAAACAGAAAGCCACGGCUAACUACGUG